rnacentral:tRNA from 1 species
UUAAUUGAAGCCAAAAAGCGGCAUAUCACUGUUAAUGAUACUAUUGAAGAUUUCUUCCAAUUAAG